GCAAUUAGUUCUGCUAUAAUAUCUCACUUAGUUCGCAGACUGGUCAUUUGAUGAUACGUGUGCACACUGCACAGUGGUAGUGCUUGGGGGCCUCAAGAGGGAAUCGCAGAACAUAGCCAUAGAGCUAAAAGUCAUAGAAGAUUUUUAAAAUUGCUAUUUGAUUUUGUGUUGUAUCAGCAGUAGUAUGUCCUUCAACAAUCUGUUAUGUCUAACCUUGGAAUUAGUCUCAUGUGACUAAGUCAACCAAAUGGGGCAACAACAAUUUUGUUUAAGAUGACUCUUGAGGCAGAAAGCUUUUCCUGCUUCUUACGAAAAGGGACAUUGGAUGCCUGAAUGUCUAAUACCAACCAAGGGUCAUUGCAAAGAUAGGUAAAAGAUAUAUCAAUAUAGAUUAUACUCUGAGUGAUGGUGACAUAUGGUAAAAAGAUAGAGCAGUAUGAAUAUUUGCUGCAUCAUUUACUUCUAUUAUUAAUAUCUUCAAGGUAUCUUACUGACUUCUAUUGGUUCUCUUUGUGGAAAGAAUAUCUUGAGUGCGAGAAUUGGAUCACAAUUGACUAGAUGUUUUACUAUUUAAAUGAGUUUAUCACAAAGAAUUUGUUACUCAUUCAUGUUCUGUCUCUGUAAUGUGGGUAGAAUAAUCGAAAUGUCGUGGUAGGAAUUCGCGAGAGAUAUGCCUAUAGGGUUUCCCUAUUGACAUACUGAUACAGAUUCACCAUGGUAAUGGAUUUGAAGAGGACUUUGAUGGAGUUUUGGUAUUAAAAAAAUACAAGUACAUGAUCGUUGGAAGGGCAACCGAAGAGUUCCGGAUCCUUUUACUAUCGCACAUAUUAUGUGCGUGUAAGACUAAAGGCUCAAAGAAGAAGAAUGAUUCAAAAAUUGUGGGAGAGAAUCAUCAAAGAAACCACAAUGUGUAAAUGCGUCACAUCCGGGAAAUUAAUACUGCAGUAACCAGAGCAAUACAAAAAUUGGCACCAACUCGUACAUAUCAGAUUUUGCCGCAACGCAUUCAAGAAUGGAGCUUAACACCUUUCAGGGCUGAAGAAAAUGAAAAAAAAGAAUUAGAAAAAAAUUUUUGGCAGCAAAACAAACCGCGGGAAGCUCAGGAAGAGCUGGAUCUUAAAGAAAAGUGCUCAAAAGGAACUAGAUAGCCCCAGCAAAGGCUAAAAAAAUGUAUGGUUUACAUAAACCUACAUGACGAAGCAGUUAAAGUAGGCGAAAGCGAAUCGAGUGCGUCACUCGCGGCCGUCAGUCCCGCCAGCUAUUCCAGUUCACGUGGCUUCGGACUUAGGAUGGCUGCUGAAACGAACGUUUCUCUUCUUGAAAUUAUACCACCGAUUCCGUGUGUUUUGAGUUACAUCUUGUGAAUUCAAUCAAUGCAGAGUUGUUCAAGGAGGAACAUGGCUUGGCUUUGCCAGCACGUUUUUUUUUUUUUUCUCCGUUUGCCUGUUAAACCCAUUUUGUUGCAAUGGUGAUACGUAAAAAGAGUAGUUCUUUAUAAUCUUUUUCUCUAUCUAAAUCUCUUAGAUUCUUGGAGGUGUCAUCAUGUGAUGUUAGAAUUAAUUAUUAAUAGUUUAAGUUUUUUAUAUUUUGCUUUCAGGUCUUUGGGAUAUACCUGAUGUACUGUGGUGGCCGUAAAAUCAUUCAAUGACUUGGUUCAAUCCAGGACUUGGAUUUUUCGAUAGUGGUUUACAGUUUUAUUUUACAGAGAUCUUGGAGGUACCUGAUGUGGUUCUUUGGCGUUGGAGUCAUAGUAAAUAAAACAUAUCCAGUAUCA
rnacentral:lncRNA from 1 species